UACAGCAACGGAUUCUCAAACAAGGUCAAUUACAUUUCAAAACCGCGUAAUACGCUGAGGAACGCGAAUAAUCCCAAGUACUUCGAUGGUAAUGCUAAAAAUAUCAAAUUAUAUCGAUAUAAGUAGAGGAGCUAGGUUUAUGAGAAGUAUAUUUUCACAUCUGUGGCGGUUCGAUUAUUUAGAUAUUACUGGCUGGUAAACAUAUCAUGUGAUAAGUGACACGAUUGUAUUUACGUUUAUCAGUUUAUGAUGUUACUUCAAAUAAUAAACAUUGCAACUCUCUUGUAUUUCCUACAAAUUGGUGACCCCGACGUAAACAUGGCCAAUCCUGACGGUGACAAUUUUCAAGAUGCAGUUGGUCCAGUUGUAGCUCGCAUUAAUGUUAAAUGCCCACCAUUUUGGCGCGCCGAUCCUACAUUAUGGUUUGUUCAAGUGGAGGCACAGUUUGCGAAUGCUGGGAUUUCUGCGGAUUUAACCAAGCGAUCAGAAACCUUCCAGUCUUUUCAGAAAAAUGAAACAGUUAGCUGAUGGUCAAGCUACAGAUAAUUUCCUGAAAGGUUUAUGGCUGAAAAAAUUACCAGAAAAUGUACACACAGUUUUGGUGUCAAGAAACGAUGGUAUUGAUGAUUUACUCGAGGCAGCUGACAAAAUGGUGGAGAUUCCCAGAAAUUACAUAAAUGCUGUUUCUUCAUCGUCCUCUACUUCAACUCUGGAGCAAAAGGUUGAAUUACUGACACAGCAGGUUGGAAUACUUUUAAAAAGAGAUCAAGAUCGUUCUAGAUCUCAUUCGCGUUCACGUAAUUCAUCUAAUUCGCGAGAAAAUCGUAAUCGUAAUCGUAGUCGUAAUUAUUAUUCAAAAAAUGUUCGUAAUCGUGAACCUACACCAGCUAAAAAUAAGGAUUUUUGUUGGUAUCAUGAUAAAUUUGGAAAGAAAGCUAAAAAAUGCAUACCUCCUUGUAAAUAUGAGUCAUCGGAAAACUAGUUAGACAAAGCAUUAAUGCGGCCUCUUGCUUUGUCAAUUCAACCAAAUUUAAAAAAACUCGCCGCCUCUUUAUUUAUGAUCCUAUUUCUCAUUUUAGAUUUCUUAUUGAUCCUGGAGCAGAUGUUUCUGUACUACCAGCCUCCAUUUUCAAAGAUAAAAAGUUAGCUCCUCUUGCACUUUAUGGUGCAAAUGAUUCUCAAAUCAAAACUUAUGGUCAAAAAAUAUUACGUGUUAAUUUAAAUUUACAGCGCAAUUUUCAAUGGUCGUUUACCAUAGCUGAUAUCUCCUGCCCAAUUAUUGGAGCUGAUUUUAUUUAUCAUUUUGGUUUAUUAGUUGAUUUAAAAGGAAAUCAACUAAUUGAUUUAACUUCGAAAUGUUCUUCUAAAGGAAAGAUGUUUCAAACUGAAAAUUUUAAAGUUUCAGUGAUAUCUGAGAAGUCAUGUUAUUCUGAUCUUUUAAAAAAGUACUCCGCUAUAACCAAGGAACGAUUUUUAGAUAUUUCAAAAGUGAAACAUUCUACCACACAUUUUAUUGAAACCGAAGGCCCCCCUGUAUUCUGUUCUCCACGUCGUUUGAAUCCUGAAAAAAUGAAAAUUGCCAAAGAAACUUUUGAUUUUCUACAAAAGUUAGGUAUUUGUCGA